UUCUUCGCUUUCGGUCGCUAUUCCAAUUUACAGUCUGAUUUGAACUUAUGGGGUGGAAGACAACGAAUUGAUGUUGCUUAAACUGAGUGUGGAAAUAUGACCCUUACAACAACAACAAUAACAUACCCAGGGGAAUCCCACAAUGUGGGGUCGGCGAG